AGACCAAAGUAGCAUUAUUAGACCUAUUUUUAAGGUUUUACACAGUUGAAAUGAAGCCUUUUCUCUAAGGUACUAAACUCAUUAAUUUGAUUUCUGGUUCUUUCAGGAGUUUUUAGUGGCAAUUAUAACUUGCAAUGUAGUUAUCUCUGGAUCACCACCCUCUUUUCAAGUCCAUCACUGUGUCAGACACCCAGCUAGCAAAGACUACGUUCAACACAGCAGGCAGGAAAAGCAUUCUUCAAUAGUUCCAGCUGGCUGGAAGGACUGGGGUGGAUUCCUUGCAGGGCAGAGGCCCCAAGGCAGCAUCCUGCCCAUCCACUCCACUGCAAGACAGCAGCAACACAGAGUACAUCACUGUCCCCCUCUAUGUGGUUUUGCUCUUUUUCCUAAUAAUCAAAAGGUAAGGCUUCAAAUCAAACAGUGUUUUCUGGCUUUUCUAUAUUGCAGCAGGCCAUAAGCCAGCACAUAGCACAUCAGCUAAAACCACUUAAAGUACUUUGUUUCCUGCUUGUACUGCCCUCUGCUAGAGUUGUGUGUCAUGGUCUUCAAGUAUUGCAACUCAGAAUUGAAUCUUUGCUAAGAUGAAGGGAGCAGCAAAGCAAUCCACAAUCUAGGAUACGUUUUUAUAGGCUCUACUUCAGAUUGUAUUAAAUAUAUGAC
rnacentral:lncRNA from 1 species